rnacentral:rRNA from 1 species
ACGUAGGGUGCAAGCGUUGUCCGGAAUUACUGGGUGUAAAGGGUCCGCAGGCGGGCAGGAAAGUCAGAGGUGAAAGACUUCGGCUCAACCGAAGAAUUGCCUUUGAUACUUCUUGUCUUGAAUCCGAGAGAGGAUAGUGGAAUUCAUGGUGUAGCGGUGAAAUGCGUAGAGAUCAUGAAGAACACCAGUAGCGAAGGCGGCUAUCUGGCUCGGUAUUGACGCUCAGGGACGAAAGCGUGGGUAGCAAACAGGA